rnacentral:rRNA from 1 species
GGGUAGCCGUAGCGAAAGCGAGUCUGAAUAGGGCGAACAUAGUUAGUUUGAGUAGACGCGAAACCGUGUGAUCUACCCUUGGGCAGGUUGAAGCUUUGUUAACCCAAAGUGGAGGACCGAACCCGUUGACGUUGAAAAGUCUUGGGAUGACCUGAGGGUAGGGGUGAAAGGCCAAUCAAACUCGGAAAUAGCUCGUACUCCCCGAAAUGCUUUUAGGAGCAGCGUAUAGUUAAGUGUAUAAGAGGUAGAGCUACUGGUUGGGCUAGGGGGAGUCACAUCCUACCAAACCCUAUCAAACUCCGAAUGCUUAUACAUGUUUCUAUGCAGUGAGGGUAUGGGUGC